rnacentral:lncRNA from 10 species
GCGGGACCCUGCAUACCUGGAAGCGGCGGGUGGCGUCCUCCUUGUCGCCCUCACCCACCCGGUCCGGGUGUACCUGCAGGGACACCUUGUGGUAGCCUCGUCGGACCUCGCCGUCGGAGGCCUCGCGUCGCACGCCCAGCACCCGGUAAAGGUCGGCGGUGCCGAACACUUCCUCGCAAAGGUCCAGCAGCCCCAUGCCGGGCGGAGAUACGACCCCGGAGGAAGCAGCCGCUCCCAGCUGCGCCGGGUACAACCCAGGACUGCUUCUUUUUCGCGCCCAAAAAGCCCAGGGCGCCUGCGUCACAAGCACUGAAGGGGCGUGGCCACGCCGCGCAUCCGCGCUUUACGGCGGCCGCAAAAUGAGGUGUGGCGAGUCAGGCGCGGGCCCGGAUCCAAGAUCAAACUCAGCUGAAGUCAGUUCCUCUCAACCUGCCCUGGCAUCAAAGUCUCAAAGCAAGUGGGGGCCAACCAGCAACAACCCCAGGGGAGCUUUGACAACCACAGAAUUUGAGAUGGCUGGUAAUCGUUCUCAGAACAUAAAACACAAAGCUGGACUGUAGUGGAACAAUCACAGUUCACUGCAGCAUCGGCCUCCUGGGCUCAAGUGAUCUUACUGCCUCAGCUUCCCGAGUAGCUGGAACUAUGGGUGAGCAACACCACAGCCAGCUAAUUUUUUAAGUUUUUGUAGAGACGGGGUCUUGCUGUGUUGCACAGGCUGGUCUCAAACUCUGGCUUCAAGUGAUCCUUCCACCUCAGCCUCCCAAAGUGCUGAGAUUACAGGUGUGAGCCACUGCCCCAAUGGUAUCUUUAUAUUAUUUUUCCUUACAAGUUACUUCAAAUUCUUGAUGUUGAAUUUCAUCUCACUGACUUCAGGCUUUUAAAACACAUGGGAAUACUUGAGACCUAAGAAUGGUUGUGAGUCAAAUAAAAAAGUAGAACUAAAGUAUACUGAAGUUAUUCAAAUACAUUCAAACUAUAAAGAUCCCUUAUAGAUUACUGGCAUCAAGGUAGGAAGGAAAAGAUACAAGAAGUAAAAUGCAACACUCAUUACAGGUUGUCAACAUUAUUGGUAUACAGUUUAUCCUAACACAGAGCAGCCUUCUUAACCUGCUCCAUAAAAUUACCAGCAAGAAAGAAAAGUACAAGAAUAAGGUUCACAGCUGAAUUGGCUUGGUGUCCUAAUUCCCUAUUCCAGUAUUCUCAGAAGGAUCCCAUCUAUGAUAUAUGCAGAAAUCACAGCCACAUUUGAAUGGUUCAAUCUUGAUUCAUACUGAACUCCCUUAAGCCCAGCAGUUUCUCAUUCUUAAAAGGUAGGUUAUUAGAGCCCCAAAGCAAUUUUCAUAACAAAUCUACCUUUGUAUAUUUAAGAAUAUGCAUUAAGGCUAGGAGUGGUGGCUCACGCCAGUAAUCCUAGCACUUUGGGAGGCCGAGGUGGGCAGAUCACAAGGUCAGAUUGAGACCAUCCUGGCCAACACGGUGAAACCCCAUCUCUACUAAAAAUACAAAAAUUUGCCCGGGCGGUGGCUCACGCCUAUAAUCCCAGCACUUUUGGGAGGCCAAGGCGGGCGGAUCACGAGGUCAGGAGAUCAAAACCAUCCUGGAUAACAUGGUGAAACCCCAUCUCUACUAAAAAUACAAAAAAAUUAGCUGGGUGUGGUGGUGGGCACCUGUAGUCCCAGCUACUCCUGGGACUACUCGGGAGGCUGAAGCAGGAGAAUGGCAUGAACCCAGGAGACAGAGCUUGCAGUGAGCCGAGAUCGCGCCACUGCACUCAAGCCUGGGCGACAGAGCGAGACUCCUCUCAAAAAAAAAAAAAAAAUUAGCUGGGUGUGGUGGUGCAUGCUUGUAGCUCCCCGGCUACUCAGGAGGCUGAGGCAGGAGAACCUCUUGAACCCAGGAGGUGGAGAUUGCAGUGAGCUGAGAUUGCACCACCGCACUCCAGCCUGGCAACAGAACAAGACUCCGUCUCAAAAAAAAAAAAAAAAAGAGAAUAUGCAUUAGGCAAGACAAUAUAAACCUCCAAUUACAAAAAUCAAUUAAGAAAGGUUAACUGUUCUUGCACUUGUGGGAUGAACAUGAAGAUCUGAAUGGGCCAUGAAUAGUCUGGCUGGGGGUUUUGAAGCAGGAAGUCUUGGAAGCCAGUAAAUUGUAAAGUUGUCCAAGAGACCCAGAGCCCAACUCAAAAGUCCAAUCCUCCCAUAGCCACUGUCUAUCCCAAGACAAAGUCGAAAAAAGCUAAUUAGUACCCACACCCAGCUCUAAGUCACACAAGAACAAAUCUCUCCCUGGGCCCUGUGCAGGCCAGGCCAGAAGAGCAAGGGCAACUCAGGAUACUCCAUUUAUUGAACUCCAAAUCUAACAAAAUUAAGAUCGCUGCAGUGUUUCAAAAGGACCUUGACCUUGUUCCCACUGCUAUGCUCACUAAAGUCAGCUCAUUUAUGUUUCUGUAGCCUCUGUAUCUGUAGCUUCUGCAUCUGUUUUCUGAGAAGCUAACAGGACUUCACGUGCCCGUUUCCUUCGCAGUCUCUCAGCAUUUGUGAUCAUCAUAGGAUGCAGAGGGAAAAAGCCAGCAAGACCUAAAAGUAACAGAUUUUUCACUUAUUAUAACACAGUAUAAGCCAAUGCUUCCCUAGGAACUCUGUCUCACAGAACUGAGGUCUGAGAUCUGACCCAGUGCAUGGAUGCAAACCAUGCUCCUCACUUGCCAAACUCUGUACUACUUCUCCCCGGCAAGGAGACAGUGGAUGUCUACUUCCCUAACAAUAUUCCCCUUACUUUAAAAAACGUAAACUGACAGAUGGCCAUUCAAAACAUACUAUUCCUAUUUUUAGCAUAAAAUACCAGUCACCCAAAGUCUUACAAAGGAGUCCACAAAAGGGGCCUCCAGAUUCAAAAUGCCAAUUAGAUCACAACUUCAGCUCCCACUUCAGUCCUGAACAGCCUAGAGGGAAUGAAAUAACUCUUUUUUUUUUUUCUUUGAGAUGGAAUCGCCCUCUGUUGCCCAGACUGGAGUGCAGUGACGCGAUCUUGGCUCACUGCAACCUCCGCCUCCUGGGUUCAAGCGAUUCUCCUGCCUCAGCCUCCCCAGUAGCUGAGACUACAGGUGCGUGUCACCACGCCCAACUAAUUUUUUUUUUUUAUUUUUAGUAGAGACAGCGUUUCACCAUGUUGGCCACUCUGGUCUCAAACUCUUGACCUCAGGUGAUCCGCCCGCCUCGGCCUCCCAAAGCGCUGAGAUUACAGGCGUGAGCCACCGUGCCCAGCCGAAAAUCAUUCUUACACCUACUGUCCUGGAGCUGACUUCAGUUUAAAAUCCCCUCAAUAAGGUAAGACCAGAGCUGAGUUACCCAGAAGCUUUUCCAUAGGCUUAGAGAGGUGGGCCCCGCAGCCAAUCCAAUGACGGAUCCUGUCUAGGUUGAGGGCAACGAGUUUUUCUCCAUGACUGUUGGGCAAUGGAUCAUAGGAGCCCAGCUGCUCUACGAAACGGCCAUCCCUGGGACACUUGUUGUGAGCAGCCACAAUGCGGUAGAACGGCCGAUUGGUGCAGCCACCCAGGGCAAGGCGGAUGGUUAAGUGGCCCCCACGGUAGGCCUUGCAGAGGAGAGUAGCUGUAGAAAAGCAGCUGGUUAGGACACAAAAAACAGCACAAAAAGGACAAAAUGACACAGACGGCACAAUUCCCUUUUCCCACUGAAAUGUCUCACUUCCAAUCCAUUCCUGUCAAUCCAGUUUAGAUGCUACUCUUCUUUGUGAAACCCCUCUUGGCCAGUCCAGCCAGCAAUGACCUCCUCCUCAUACCCAAACCCACCCCGCAUGGGCUUGCCAUUCACUAGGCUCUGUGACCUUGUCGGAGCCUUAGCUGCUUCAAUGGGGUGGAAAUUUUUCAGCGGUGAUUAAGUGGGGAAAAAACUGAGAGAAGGAUCAAAUGUAAGGCAGUGUGGCUGCUUCAGGUUCGGGUUGCCUCCAUCGCGCCUGGGAGAGCUCUCCCCACCCGGCCCCGAACUCCCGAGCCCCGUGACCGCCCGGAACGUCUCGCGGUGGCCCGAUGACUCACUGAGGUGGACCAUGGUGCCGCCGGCGUGCGGCUCCUCGGAGAGCCCCGCUACCCGCACGCACCAGCUCUACGGCCUUGGCAGGGCAGAGAACAAACACAGAAAGAACCUGCAAGCCGACACCAGGCCGCACCGCCAAGCGGUACAAGCCCGAAAACCUCGACUCCGGAAGCGGAUGAUCCGCUCGCCACGCCUCCUCCGCUUGCCGCCCUAUACUUCCCACAAUGCAACACGGUGACCCCUAACGUACCUUAAACUGCUGCAAAAGAGGCGUUUCUCGUGGUGUCUUGUGGGAGUGGCGGUGCGAUCCCUCUCAGACUUGUGAGUCCCUGCUGGAGUCAGAAGUUUUAGGCGAAUCCCAGGCGCGCCAAGGAAAGUGCUACAAAAGCCAUCCAUCUUGCAAGCGUUGGUGCCGAGGCGCAACGCUGAGAACGCAAAUACUAAAGGGCGCUGUUCUUUCCUCGUGGAGCUCACAGUCCGCUGGGGAGACCGUGAGAUGACAGCAGAGAAACUAGCGCGAUCAGUAGUACUCAGCGCAAGGACAGCGAGCAGAGAAGGCAAACCUAGUGCUUGCUAAGGAAGACUUCACAGAGGAGGUAGUGUCAGGGCCGAGACUAGGAGAAGGAUUCUCCAGGCUUCAUACGGUAAAACUCUCUGGGAAGGAAAGGAACUCAGAGUCCCAUGCAGAAAAUUGUUCAGCUGGAGGGGUAUCAGAAAGAUGGAUUUCCAAAGCCAACUGUUUCCUGUAGUGUGUGGAUCUCUGCAAGCAGAGCCUCAUCUUUCAAUUUCAGCUACAUGAAAGAGGAAGAAAGGGAAAGAUAUAUGUCAUACGUGAUAUACUUUAUGUGGCUUUGAAGACCCCUCUUUUGUGGGGCUACGGCUAAAGAACAUAGUUCCCUGGGAUGGAAUUGGCUCUUCCUAUUUCCCUACUUCAUGAAAACUCCAGUAGAAGACCUUAGAACCUUGUCCUGGUUACAUGGAUAUGUUUACUUUGUGAAAAUUCAUCAAGCACUAUGCACGGUCAUGAUUUGUACAUUUUUUUGUAAGAUAACUUCAUUAAAAUUUAC